UGCCUACGGGAGGCAGCAGUAGGGAAUCUUCGGCAAUGGGGGCAACCCUGACCGAGCAACGCCGCGUGAGUGAAGAAGGUUUUCGGAUCGUAAAGCUCUUUUGUAAGUCAAGAACGGGUGUGAGAGUGGAAAGUUCACACUGUGACGGUAGCUUACCAGAAAGGGACGGCUAACUACGUGCCAGCAGCCGCGGUAAUACGUAGGUCCCGAGCGUUGUCCGGAUUUAUUGGGCGUAAAGCGAGCGCAGGCGGUU
rnacentral:rRNA from 1 species